CAUCCCUUUAGGUCUAUCCUCCAAUGCCAGAUUUAAUUCAUGUUGGACCAAUAGGUCCUCCACCCUGACCUUCUACAAGAAAAAAUUAUCUUUCCUAUCAAAUUUCUCAAAAUAUACUUUAACACUACUUUCCAUGGUCAGAUCCUACCACAAUCAGCAAAUAAACUAAGUAGACACAAAAGUAAUACCUUCAAGGGGGUGUGCUGAAUUUCAGAUCCGACAAACUUCCUUGCUUCUGGUUUCUUCCUUUGACCUUAUGUUCUGAUACCAAUUGUUGGAGCUGCUUCCCCGGGCCUUGGACUUCUGAAACUAACAAGAAUGAACUAUGGAGACCUUUGAUGACAAGCAAAUCACCAAUCACAAAACAGCCUUCUUGGAAAACUUUAGCAGCCUUGAUCUUGUCACCUGGAUUAACUUCAAGGUUUUGAAGCCCUUCUCUUCCAGAUCUGAAAUCCACCUUUUCAGAUCUGGAAACCCACCAGAUAAAAGCUCUAAACAUAAAAGAAUGGGGCAUGGAAGAUUCUUUGGAUGGCC
rnacentral:lncRNA from 1 species